UUCGUUAACGAACGAGACCUUAACCUGCUAAAUAGCCAGGCCCGCUUCUGCGGGUCGCCGGCUUCUUAGAGGGACUAUCGGAUUUCAAGUCGAUGGAAGUUUGAGGCAAUAACAGGUCUGUGAUGCCCUUAGAUGUUCUGGGCCGCACGCGCGCUACACUGACAGAGCCAACGAGUAAUCUCCUUGGCCGGAAGGUCCGGGUAAUCUUCUGAAACUUCAUCGUGCUGGGGAUUGUCCAUUGCAAUUAUUGGACAUCAACGAGGAAUUCCUAGUAAGCGUGAGUCAUCAGCUCGCGUUGAUUACGUCCCUGCCCUUUGUACACACCGCCCGUCGCUAAUACCGAUUGAAUGGCUA
rnacentral:rRNA from 1 species